CACAGCACCCGUGGCUUUCAGGGACCAGAUCACAGAGAAAUCAUGGGACACGGCCACCCCCGGAACAGUUACCAAGACCCCCAAGAGACCUGGGAACAAGUGUAGCAGAAUUUUAUGGUCAUUGUAGGAGGCUGAUGUUCAGCUGACAGACCUCUGAAGUGGCACAUCAGAGAGGCUGAAGAGGACACAGGAGAGUCGAUGAGGAGGAAGAGCAGCUGGCCUGG